GCCCGGGUGGCGGAAUUGGCAGACGCGCGGGACUUAAAAUCCUGUGUCCUUUCGGACGUGUGGGUUCAAAUCCCACCCCGGGCA
rnacentral:tRNA from 1 species